GGGGUCCCACAACCUUCACAGGACGUUGUGAAGGUCAUGGUGGGUCUGGGGUCUCCGGUCCAUGGGGAGAACAUGGUUGGGGUCCCACAUGUUCCAAAGGAGGAGGUUGUGGUGGGGAUGGGGUCUUCAGGCCAUGGGGAGAACCUGGUUGAGAUGGGGAUGGGGGCUUCAAACCAUGGGGAGAACCUGGCUGGGGUCCCACAGGUUCCAAAGGAGGAGGUGGUGGUUGUGGGUCUGGGGUCUUCAGGCCAUGGGGAGAAUGUGGUAGGGGUUGGGUUGGGGUCUUCAAACCAUGGGGAGAAUGUGGUUGGGGUCCCACAUGUUCCAAAGGAGGAGGUUGUGGUUGUGGGUCUGGGGUCUUCAGGCCAUGGGGAGAACCUGGCUGGGGUUGGGUUGGGGGCUUCAGGCCAUGGGGGCAACGUGGUAGGGGUCCCACAGCCUUCACAGGACAUUGUGAAGGUCAUGGUGGGGAUGGGGGCUUCAGGCCAUGGGGAGAAUGUGGUAGGGGUCCCACAGGUUCCAAAGGAGGAGGUGGUGGUGGGGAUGGGGAGUUCUAAGGAGGUUGUGGUUGUGGGUCUGGGGUCUUCAGGCCAUGGGGAGAACCUGGCUGGGGUCCCACAGGUUCCAAAGGAGGAGGUUGUGGUGGGUCUGGGGUCUCCGGUCCAUGGGGAGAACAUGGUAGGGGUCCCACAGCCUUCACAGGACAUUGUGAAGGUCAUGGUGGGGAUGGGGGCUUCAGGCCAUGGGGAGAACCUGGUUGGGGUCCCACAGGUCACCAAGGAGAACAUGGUUGUGGUGGGGACGGGGUCUUCAGGAUGUGGGGAAAACAUGGUAGGGGUCCCACAGGUUCCAAAGGAGGAGGUGGUGGUUGUGGGUCUGGGGUCCUCAAACUAUGGGGAGAACGUGGUUGGGGUCCCACAGGUCACCAAGGAGAACAUGGUUGUGGGUCUGGGGUCUUCAGGAUGUGGGGAGAACCUGGCUGGGGUCCCACAGCCUUCACAGGACGUUGUGAAGGUCAUGGUGGGGAUGGGGUCUUCAGUCCACGGGGAGAACAUGGCUGGGGUUGGGUUGGGGUCUUCAGGCCAUGGGGAGAACCUGGUUGGGGUCCCACAUGUUCCAAAGGAGGAGGUUGUGGUGGGUCUGGGGUCUUCAGUCCAUGAGGAGAACGUGGUGGGGGUCCCAGAGGUCCAUGACGAGAAGGUAAUGGUGGGUCUGGGGUCUUCCCGCGAGGUUCUGGUGGUGGGAUCGGGCUCCUCAGGGGGGUCUGGGGAGGUGGUGGUUGUGGGUCUGGGGUCUUCAAACCAUGGGGAGAACCUGGCUGGGGUCCCACAUGUUCCAAAGGAGGAGGUUGUGGUUGUGGGUCUGGGGUCUCCGGUCCCCCAGGUCACAAGGGAGAAGGUGGUCGUGGGUCUGGGGGCUUCUGGGGAGGUUGUGGUGGUGGGAUCGGUGCAUGGGGAGACCCCCGAGGAGACCCCAAUUGUGGGUCUGGGGUCUUCACCCCAUGGGGAGAACCUGGUGGAGAUCCCAGAGACCCCCAAGGUUGUGGGUCUGGGGUCUUCGGUCCAUGGGGAGAACGUGGUUGGGGUCCCAGAGACCCCCAAGGUUUUGGGUCUGGGGUCUUCAGGAUGUGGUGAGACCCCAAUGGAGACCCCCAAGGAGACCCCAAUUGUGGGUCUGGGGUCUUCAGGGUGUGAAGAGACCCCAAUGGAGCCCCCCAAGGAGACCCCAGCCCAGAAUUUGGACCCCCAGACCCCUCAGGAGACCCCCAGGGACCCCCAAAUCCAUGGAGGGACCCCCGAGAUGGUCCCAGACCCCCCGAAAAAACCCCAAAAUUUUGGGGUGGUCCCAGAGCCCCCCAAAGACCCCCAGGACCCCCCAAAGUGACCCCAAAUUUGGGACUGAGACCCCCCAAAAUUACCCCAAAUUUGGGACUGAGACCCCCCAAAAUGACCCCAAAAUUUGGGAUUGGGACCCCUGAAAAUGACCCCAAAAUUUGGAUUUAGGACC
ensembl:lncRNA